rnacentral:rRNA from 1 species
UAGGGAAUCUUCGGCAAUGGACGAAAGUCUGACCGAGCAACGCCGCGUGAGUGAAGAAGGUUUUCGGAUCGUAAAACUCUGUUGUUAGAGAAGAACAAGGACGUUAGUAACUGAACGUCCCCUGACGGUAUCUAACCAGAAAGCCACGGCUAACUACGUGCCAGCAGCCGCGGUAAUACGUAGGUGGCAAGCGUUGUCCGGAUUUAUUGGGCGUAAAGCGAGCGCAGGCGGUUUCUUAAGUCUGAUGUGAAAGCCCCCGGCUCAACCGGGGGGGGUCAUUGGAAACUGGGAGACUUGAGUGCAGAAGAGGAGAGUGGAAUUCCAUGUGUAGCGGUGAAAUGCGUAGAUAUAUGGAGGAACACCAGUGGCGAAGGCGGCUCUCUGGUCUGUAACUGACGCUGAGGCUCGAAAGCGUGGGGAGCAAACA